CAGAAUUGGGUGUUCGCCUGACUAUCAAAGCAACGACUUUUUAUUCUGUUUGUACUGAACCAAAACAAACAACUGUGUAUAGACUGCUAUUUUUCUUUUUAUUUGAAAUGAGGCGUUUCGGUGUCCUUUCCCCUGCCAUGUGGCCCAUCCCCCCGCCCUCCCCCCAACAAUGGCUCCAGCAGACUGGCCGAAGGUCCCGCCGCCGCCACCGCUGCAGCAGCACCUGCACGGCUCCGCUCCAACCUGGGAAGGAAUGGGGACAUGGCCAGGAGCUAGUGUCACCAUGGCCACACGGGGAGCAGUGUGGGCCCUCAGGGGGCCUGCUGUGCAUGUGGCUCUUUUUAACACAGUAAACUAGAUUAGAUGUCAGUGUUUUAAUUGCCCCUCUCCUCUGCUCUUUUCUCUCUCCCUCUCUUUCCCCUUCUCUCAACCAGGAGACCAUCCCAUGUCUCUCUUCCUUCCUCCUUCCCCCCCUCCAGGGGAGCCAGGCUGUCUGAAAUACUUCAGCUUCUCUCCCCCAUCCCCCUGCUUCUCUCCUGCUGUCAGAUGGAUUUAUUCCUUUUUUAAACAGUGAACAUCGGAAAUGAGACUGUGGGGUGUGUUGUUGUUUUUUUUUUUUCCUCCCAAUUUUUGUUGUUGGGUUUUUGAGCAACCUCAUGUCCCCCUCCCAGGGAGCUUUCUUUAUUUACCUCUUAGAAGUGGAACGGAUGGGAGGUAGAGCAGUGUACUCCAGCAUGCUUUGUUUUAUGAUGAGAUUACAUAGCAAGGCUUUUAAUGCCAUCUGGGCAGGUGAGCUUCUGCACCUCUGUUGUGCUCAGCUAUAUUUUCUUCUUCCUCUCAUUCUUCUUUGUCUUCUUUUUUCCUCUCCCCCUCCUCCUGCCUCCUUCCUGCUGGCCUCCUUUUAUCUUUCUUUCCCUUUGUCAGAUUAUCCUUCCAGGUUUUCGUAAUAAAUUUAUAUUUUGUAAAAGGAUUUUGUUGUACCAGGUUUUGCAUCCUCACUGAAUCUGACUGGCUUUUAUUUUCCUCUCCAAAAUCAGGUUUUUGUUCUCAACAUCUUUCCCCAUCAUGUCCAGUCACUGUUUUGGUUUUGGCACCAUCAAUAUCAAAUGUACAAACGGUUCUUGCUAACCAACACCAGGUAUAUCUGAUGUUCAGAUGAGUUCCAAUAAAAACAAUUUUUUUUU
rnacentral:lncRNA from 1 species